UACAUUAGAUACCCGGGUAGUCCCAGCCGUAAACUAUGCGCGUUAGGUGUAUCGGUGACCACGAGUUACCGAGGUGCCGAAGGGAAACCGUGAAACGUGCCGCCUGGGAAGUACGGUCGCAAGGCUGAAACUUAAAGGAAUUGGCGGGGGAGCACCACAACAGGUGGAGCCUGCGGUUUAAUUGGACUCAACGCCGGGAAGCUCACCGGAUAGGACAGCAGAAUGAUUGCCGGGCUGAAGACCCUGCAUGACUAGCUG
rnacentral:rRNA from 1 species